rnacentral:rRNA from 1 species
AUUGCAGGUACCGCACGAAUAAGGACCGGCUAAUUCCGUGCCAGCAGCCGCGGUAAUACGGAAGGUCCGGGCGUUAUCCGGAUUUAUUGGGUUUAAAGGGAGCGCAGGCCGUCCUUUAAGCGUGCUGUGAAAUGCCGCGGCUCAACCGUGGCACUGCAGCGCGAACUGGAGGACUUGAGUACGCACGAGGUAGGCGGAAUUCGUGGUGUAGCGGUGAAAUGCUUAGAUAUCACGAAGAACUCCGAUUGCGAAGGCAGCUUACCGGAGCGCAACUGACGCUGAGGCUCGAAAGCGCGGGUAUCGAACAGGAUUAGAUACCCUGGUAGUCCGCGCGGUAAACGAUGGAUGCCCGCCGUUGGGUUUUAGAAUUCAGCGGCCAAGCGAAAGCGUUAAGCAUCCCACCUGGGGAGUACGCCGGCAACGGUGAAACUCAAAGGAAUUGACGGGGGCCCGCACAAGCGGAGGAACAUGUGGUUUAAUUCGAUGAUACGCGAGGAACCUUACCCGGGCUUGAAUUGCAGGAGAACGAUCCAGAGAUGGUGAGGCCCUUCGGGGCUCCUGUGAAGGUGCUGCAUGGUUGUCGUCAGCUCGUGCCGUGAGGUGUCGGCUCAAGUGCCAUAACGAGCGCAACCCCUGUCCAUAGUUGCCAUCAGGUCGUGCUGGGCACUCUGUGGAGACUGCCGCCGUAAGGUGUGAGGAAGGUGGGGAUGACGUCAAAUCAGCACGGCCCUUACGUCCGGGGCUACACACGUGUUACAAUGGGGCAUACAGCGAGUUGGAUGUGCGCAAGUACGUCCGGAUCAAUAAAGUGCCUCUCAGUUCGGACUGGGGUCUGCAACCCGACCCCACGAAGCUGGAUUCGCUAGUAAUCGCGCAUCAGCCAUGGCGCGGUGAAUACGUUCCCGGGCCUUGUACACACCGCCCGUCAAGCCAUGAAAGCCGGGGGCGCCUGAAGUCCGUGACCGCGAGGGUCGGCCUAGGGUGAAACCGGUGAUUGGGGCUAAGUCGUAACAAGGUAGCCGUACCGGAAGGUGCGGCUG